UACGGAGGGUGCAAACGUUGCUCGGAAUUAUUGGGCGUAAAGAGCUCGUAGGCGGCUCGUCGCGUCGACCGUGAAAACCCGCGGCUUAACUGCGGGCUUGCGGUUGAUACGGGCGGGCUAGAGUUCGGUAGGGGAGACUGGAAUUCCUGGUGUAGCGGUGAAAUGCGCAGAUAUCAGGAGGAACACCGGUGGCGAAGGCGGGUCUCUGGGCCGAUACUGACGCUGAGGAGCGAAAGCGUGGGGAGCGAACAGG
rnacentral:rRNA from 1 species